rnacentral:lncRNA from 10 species
CUGUCCAGUUUAACUUCCUUGGACCCCCAAGUCACACGCCGCUCGGGGGCCACCCCGGCAAACCCCAGCCUGCGUCACCCGCCCCCAGCCGCCUUCCUAGUUCCAGGGGCUGACUGGUAUCUCUGUGCGCGCCACCGUCCUCCCUCCACCGUCCCAGGGCUGGGCAACUUCGACAAAGCCUCUGGGCAGCUCGCCCAUGGGAACCUCCCCGCACUGCGGUGCGGGGGUGCACGGAUUUCGGGCCACCCUGAACCCCGGGGCUGGGUCCCCUCCAGCCCAGCCCCUGCCAUCGAGCCCCUGCCAUGGGCAUCCUGGCGUCGCCUGGCUAAGCCUCCCUGGCGCCCAGCAGGGGCCUGCGCUGCCCUAGCGGCCUCGCCGUUAACCAUUUCAUCCACACUCCUGGGAGAGCCGGCUUCACCUCAGUCCCGACAGCUGCGUGCGAGCGCCUUGCAGGUGGCUGGGGGAGAUUCACAUCCACUUCUGCAAGACACGGGCCCCCCACUCCCAGCCCCAGCCCCGCCGAAACCAGCUAGACAGCUCCUCCUCCUUCACUAUUUCCUGGAACCGCCGGCAUGAAAGAGAAAUCAAUUGUUCUUCCUAACCCUGGCAGAAACAAUAAAACCAUCUGGGCUUCUGGGGCUGGGGUCUUUAUCACCUCCGUUUUCCUCAUGCUUUUUAAUCUGGCAAGUUCUCUAUUUCUCGAGGCAAUAGACAUUUUUCUAGGAAUUAAUCUAUUUCACGUUAAUAUUUAAAUGACUAGCAUAUCUUUUUUUCUUUAUAUUCUGGCUUUUUAUGGUUUUGUUUGUUUGUUUUGACAGGGUCUUGCUCUGUCUCCCAGGUUGGAGUACAGUGGUGCCAUCUUGGCUCACUGCAGCCUCAGCCUCCCCAGCUCAAGCAAUCCUCCCACCUCAGCCUCCCUAGUAGCUGGAACUACAAGUGUGUGCCACCACGCCCAGCUAAUUUUAGCAUUUUUUGUAGAGACAGGAUUUUGCCCUGUUGCACAGGCUGGUCUCAAACUCCUGAGGUCAAGCCAUCCACCCACCUCGGCAUCCCAAAGUGCUGGGAUUACUGGCAUGCAUUUGGCCUGUAUUUUGUUUUUUGCAUUUUUCUCUU